rnacentral:tRNA from 1 species
GGGCCCGUAGCUCAGCGGUAGAGCGCCCGCUUGGCGUGCGGGAGGUCCCGGGUUCAAAUCCCGGCGGGUCCACCA